rnacentral:rRNA from 1 species
UACGUAGGGUCCGAGCGUUGUCCGGAGUUACUGGGCGUAAAGCGCGCGCAGGCGGCGGUGUUGGCCCGGCGUGAAAGCCCCCGGCUCAACCGGGGAGAGUCGUCGGGGACCGCACCGCUUGAGGGCGGUAGGGGCUGGUGGAAUGCCUGGUGUAGUGGUGAAAUGCGUAGAGAUCCGGAGGAACACCAGUGGCGAAGGCGACACGCUGGGCCGUACCUGACGCUAAAGCGCGACAGCAUGGGGAGCAAACGGG